UCUGAUUACCUCAUCAAAACAAAGAACAUUUGGUGUAGCUCCUUAGAAGGCAUGUUGAUAUAUAAGGAAUAAAACACCACAGGGUGUGCUGUUAUAGGAAAAUAAUCAGUGACAGCUCAUCAUGUUACCGAGCAACCACGAAGCGUAAACUCCUCUGUCCUGAAGAUGUCGGAAAACGUCACGCUCCAGCUGUACGACUGUUACACUGGAGACGUAUUAGAAUGCGUUCGUUAAUAUAACCCAUAUAUAAGGGUUAUAUAAUAUAUAAGCUGGAACUUCUGUCAGAGCUGCUGUUAUAAAAAAUUAAUCAACAUCUUCUGACCAAUUGAUUGUUUUUCUUUUUCGUUUUUUUUUGUAAGUACACGUAAUAUAAUCAUUUUAGAAAUCUGAGCUGUAUAGCUAAAAUUCUGUUAGUAAAACGUUUGUGAGUCCAGAACAUUCCUAAGGCGUCUUUAAACCAACAUAUUGCACAACAGAGGCCAGGCCACCCAAAUGGAACCCGACUGAGCGGUGGAACCACAUGAGGAGAUGGAGGGAUUAGGUGCUAUUCAGGGUUAGAUUUAGAACUUUUUUUUUUUUUUUGCAGUUCCCAGGCAUGUAUUAAGUUCCAUACAGAAAACAAAGAACAAAUGUAUAUGACUAAGUAAGUGUCUGAAAAUAGACCGCAAAGUUUCACUUAUUCAGGAAAGUCCAGUUUAUACAAGAUUACUUUCAUUUUUUUUCUGAAAAUGAUCCUUUUCUCUCAUAUGAUGUAAUACAAUCCAGAGGAGUCCAAUGGAUACAGUAGUUAUUGAUGUUCUUCUUUUAUUCUUUCACUCUUCUCUGAGUGUUCUUUAAAUUCUCCACCAUUUGUGCCACUUUGUAACAUCCCUUCAUUAUCCAAUCCUCUCUCCCUCCAUUUCUCUCUCACCAUCUCUCAGUGGAAGGCUGUCAGAGGUUUUUUUUUUAAGGAGCCGGUGAGCUGUGAAAUCGCACAAAUUGCUACUGCUUUACGUCUGGCCCUGGCGAACGAGGGAGGGAAAGACAAAACGGCAGAGGAGAGAGGGGAGAUUUUCUGCUCCAACACUUUUUAACUACUCCUAGGGGUCCUUGGACGCCAUUUUGAGAACCUUCUGGAUAGAAGCUAACUGAAUUUCAGUUCCACUGAGCUCGUUUGAGUGUCGAACUGGAAGAGUUCACUAGAGGACGCCGCGGCGGAAAUGUAGAUCAGUCCGUGACCUCUGACCGCCGGAAGUAAACAAAACCAUUCAACUAUGUCAGGGAGACUGACACGGUAUGAGAAUGUGAGGCGGUACAGAGAAAGGAUUCGGGCUGAUCCUGCGAAAUACCUCGCCUGGAAAGAGAAGAACCACUUGAGUAGUAAAGUGGGUGUGUGUUCAGGAAUAAAACACUCCAUGCUGUGCUGUUCUAGGAAAAUAAUCAAUGACAGGUGAUGUGAUGAAGUGGAGUUACUGUUACCACCACAAAGGUGAUUAUUUUCCAAUAUCAUCACAUCCAGAGGUGUUUUAUUCCUCUUAUACUAUAGCAUCUUGCCCAAAUUUUUUUUUUACUUAUUAAAGAACAAUGCGUCAUAGUUUCAUUUCAUCAAUAAGUUGCUUUAGAGUGUCACUUGAGUGAAUGAGGUCAUCUGAUUUGGCAAACAAGUUCAUCCUCAAAUCGUCCUAUCCUUGUUUCCUUUCUUUGCAUCCUCAGAGGGAGGAGCUAAGAAGCGAGGAAGGGAAGAAAGGAAAGGAAAUAACGAAGCAAAAUUAAAUGAAAUGAGAAGUACCCACUUCUUUGAUGUGUGUAUUUGCAAACCAUUCAGGUAUCUGCAAAACAGAAAGACCAUUAAUGAACUACCUGAACCCAUGAAAAAGCUGCAGAGGAAGGCUUGGAGAGAGGCGACAAGGCGACACCGUGCAAAAAAGAUGGCUCAAGCUGCUCUUUCUGCUACAUCCAUGUCACAAACACAAACCGUAUGACCAGGACAUAUUUCUUCCCUUUAGACUCUGUGCUCUCUGGGCAAAAAGUGCCCCUUUUGCAUAUUUAUAUACUGUAUAAAUAAAUUAAUAAUUGGGUAAUUGAGUUGAAUGAAAAUCUUUUCUUGGUUUUUUGUUGGUCCAGUUAACAGUUAUCGUUUAGAAAUUAAAUGACACAAAUAAAGUAACAUGUCUGUCA